GUCCAGUUGACGAGUCCCAAAUAGAACGAAACGCGUGUCCUGGAU
rnacentral:hammerhead_ribozyme from 1 species